CGCGGUAGUGCUUUUAUGGUAUGCCAUCUCUAUUUUGCACAGGUCACAGACCACCGAAUCGUUACCUUUAGGUGUAAAGUACUCCCAUACUUUUGACAUCCUAUUACGAGAUCUUUUCUUCUCCCCCGACUCGCUGCUACUCGAUGCCGCGGCCGCCGCCAUUUUUUGAUUCUGAGUGAUGACGCAUCGACGUGCGGUUUUUGCGUCGACGUCAUCGAUGACGUCGACGCGUCAUCCCAGCCCUAGUGAAAACCUGAGGCAGUUUUUUUAGCCUUGAAGGCACAGGUGAGCUUGAUCAAGGUAAUGACCCUCCCAUAUCAGCCAACUGCAGACAGUGGGUGGGGCGUCACCCCGCCUCUUCAGUCAAUCAAUCAAUUUUAUUUAUAAAGCCCAAUAUCACAAAUCACAAUUUGACUCAGGGGGCUUAAGAUCAAGGUUCCAUUUUGACAUCUGGAACACAAAACAUUGAACUUUGAAACAAUACAACAUGAAGAGAAAUAACAUUUCCCACUUUUGACUUGAAGACUACCAAGUGUCUGGACUAGCCAUCACACAAACACACUUCGGACAGAUACUGGUGGUGGGUACUUAUGCACUGAUUCCACCGGAACCCAUAAGGCAACCAGAAACUGGCGAUCCUCAGGAAACCAGGGAAAUGCUCCCAAGACAUUGGGCCACAUUCACUAAUAUCUGCGCAGAAAUGUUCUUACUCUCCGCAAAAAAUAAGUACUUGCGCAAAAUCACCGUUGGAUUCAUGACACGUGCGUACCGGCCAAUUUUGUUCUCACCACCGUGCGUAUGUUAGUAAAUCAGAACCAUUCUAAAUUGACAGGCGCGUGUCCGCGAUCUGCAAUCAGCAUACUACCACGCCCCCAUUUCUCCAUAUAAGGAAACCGCUUGCCUAGAGUUGAUUCAUGAAUGAAGGAAGCGGUUACGCGAGGAGACAAGUAAUAAAUUUCACAGUUUGUUAGAAGGGAUGGCGCCGGGUCUUACAGGAAUGCCAUGGGUCAUUGUAAGAUUGUGGAGGACACAGCAUGCCAGGAUGAUCUUGCACACCUUCUCAGGGGUAUAAAGUAGUUUGCCACCGGCCGUAUCUGAUCCAAACACAUCCAGCGGCCCUUAAGCACGCCAAAAGUGCGCUCUACGGCGCGUGUGUGGGCAUGUAUGUUAUUAUAGCGCACCUCUUGAGGGGUUUCAGGGUUUGCGUAUGGUGUCAUCAGCCAUGUUUUAAGGCCAUAUGUCCGGUCACCCAAACAAUAUAACAUUUUAACAUUAACGGAAUAGAGACUUACUGAAAAUACUAACUUAAAACAAUUGAAAUAAAAGACUAGAACAAAAGAUGCCCACAGCCCCUGCCUCCAAACGCAUUCCCACUGUACUGUUUUGCAAAAUAUGAGUCGUGGGUGCCUCCUGGCCAGCGGGCCACAGCCUUAAGGAUAUGGCAGUCGGCAUUACAGAUCAUCUGCACACUGAUGGAGUGAUAGUUUUUCUGUUCAUGUUAUUGUUAAUAUUUUAAUUGUCACAAUGAUGAGGGUGAACGUGUGUCAAUUUCAUGGUAAUUUAAUCCAUUUGGCCAAUAUAUUAGUAAAUUAAUUAUUUUAAAAAAUGUUAAAUAAAUCUCUUUUUCAUGAAUGUGGUUUUAUAGACUCUGCAUGUACUUAAAAGGUAUGUUUGCAUUUUCUAAGUCAGUUCGGCCUUCCUCAUUUGUGCGUACGCAUGGUCUGAGGCAGUUCUAAAUUUGUUCGCAGAGUAAGAACAAAUUCGGGUAAGAAAAUAUUGAUGAAUCCCGGAUUUGUGCGUCAAACGAUCAUACGCACAGUUUAAGCACAGAUUUGUGCGUACGCACUGUUUGUGAAUGAGGCCCAUUGUCUUCAACCACAUUCUCUGCCACACUAAGUGGAAACAACAAACUGGUUGAUCUCCUGCUCCACUUAUGCCUACAGAGGGGGUGCAUGGCUCCUUCAAACUUAUGUGGCUAUAUGCACCAUUUACACACCAGUACUUUUUCCAAACUCCUAAAACAUGGGCUUACAAUCAAACAAAGGGGGGGACAAAUGAUGCUACCUUUCAUCGUUCACACAAAUGAACUACACAAAGAUAACUAAACAAACAAAAAUCCUUUUGUGAUACUCCCAAAAAUCUCAACCAGAAUGCUAAUACCAAAAACACUUUAAACUGUACUCCUGAAAAGUGCUUAACCUCAGUUUAGCAUUUACAAACCACAAGUGUCACAAACCAGAUUGAUUAUGUAUAACAAAUCAAGCCCACUGUGUUACAUUAAGGCAAGAUUUAGCCUUACCCAACGGAUCUGAUCCCAUUUGACACAAACUGGCUUAAUGAAUGUGACAAGUAGGGAGACCACACAAAAGAUUUAGUUAAAACAAGCAGAAUUUAAUAAAGUAAGGCUAACUUAAAUAGCCAAUGGAGUGUCUGGGUCAGCAAAGUCAGCGAUGAAGGUGUGAAGGUGUUGAAGGUGCAAAGCAAAAGCAAUGAUGCCAGGUGGAUGUUUGCUGCAGGAAGGGAGAGAGCAGGUGAAAACAUGAGGCAGCUUUUAUAGCCUGGGAGGCCCAGGUGAGCUUCAUCAAGGUACUGACUAGGGCUGUCAACGAAUAUUCUAAAUUCGAAUUUAAAUUUGAAUUUGAAAAAAAAAAAUGGACCUUCGAAUGUGAAAAUUGAUAUUCGAUUGUGGAGAAAAAAAAAAACACCACCGCAGCUGUCCUCUUUGCGAGUGUGCGUUGGCCUGGGCUGCUGCACUGAACGCACUGCAUAAACGCCAGGGCCACACCGCCCAUGGAAGUGCUGCUGGUCGACAAGAGGUUCUGCUCCCAGCUGUUGUCUCCGUCACCCCCC